rnacentral:rRNA from 1 species
GUCUACCGCCAUGCCACCCCGAACAAGCCUGAUCCCAUCUAAUCUCAGAAGCUAAGCAGAGUUGGGCCUGGUUAGUACUUGGAUGGGAUACUACCUAGGAAGACUAGGUGCUGUAGGCA